rnacentral:rRNA from 1 species
CCUACGGGAGGCAGCAGUGAGGAAUAUUGGUCAAUGGGCGCGAGCCUGAACCAGCCAAGUAGCGUGAAGGAUGACUGCCCUACGGGUUGUAAACUUCUUUUAUAAAGGAAUAAAAUGAGGCACGUGUGCCUUUUUGUAUGUACUUUAUGAAUAAGGAUCGGCUAACUCCGUGCCAGCAGCCGCGGUAAUACGGAGGAUCCGAGCGUUAUCCGGAUUGAUUGGGGUUAAAGGGAGCGUAGUUGGCUUGUUAAGUCAGUUGUGCAAGUUUGCGGCUCAACCGGAAAAUUGCAUUUGAUACUGGCAGUCUUGAGUACAGUUGAGGUAGGCGGAAUUCGUGGUGUAGCGGUGCACUGCUUAGAUAUCACGCAGAACUCCGAUUGCGACGGCAGCUUACUAAACUGCCACUGACAUUGAUGCUCGAAAGUGUGGGUAUCAAACAGGAUUAGAUACCCUUGUAGUC